UACGUAGGGUGCGAGCGUUAAUCGGAAUUACUGGGCGUAAAGCGUGCGCAGGCGGGCUUUUAAGCCAGACGUGAAAUCCCCGGGCUUAACCUGGGAAUGGCGUUUGGGACUGGGAGUCUGGAGUGCGGCAGAGGAGACUGGAAUUCCCGGUGUAGAGGUGAAAUUCGUAGAUAUCGGGAGGAACACCGGUGGCGAAGGCGGCGACCUGGGUAGAUACUGACGCUGAGGCGCGAAAGCGUGGGGAGCAAACAGG
rnacentral:rRNA from 1 species